rnacentral:rRNA from 1 species
GACGAACGCUGGCGGCGUGCUUAACACAUGCAAGUCGAGCGGAAAGGCCCUUCGGGGUACUCGAGCGGCGAACGGGUGAGUAACACGUGAGUAACCUGCCCCAGACUUUGGGAUAACCCUCGGAAACGGGGGCUAAUACCGGAUACGACACAGCUUCGCAUGGGGUCUGUGUGGAAAGUUUUUCGGUUUGGGAUGGGCUCGCGGCCUAUCAGCUUGUUGGUGGGGUGAUGGCCUACCAAGGCGACGACGGGUAGCCGGCCUGAGAGGGCGACCGGCCACACUGGGACUGAGACACGGACCAGACUCCUACGGGAGGCAGCAGUGGGGAAUAUUGCACAAUGGGCGGAAGCCUGAUGCGGCGACGCCGCGUGAGGGAUGACGGCCUUCGGGUUGUAAACCUCUUUCAGCAGGGACGAAGCGUAAGUGACGGUACCUGCAGAAGAAGCGCCGGCCAACUACGUG